GACGAACGCUGGCGGCGUGCUUAACACAUGCAAGUCGAACGGAAAGGCCCUGCUUUUGUGGGGUGCUCGAGUGGCGAACGGGUGAGUAACACGUGAGUAACCUGCCCUUGACUUUGGGAUAACUUCAGGAAACUGGGGCUCAUACCGGAUAGGAGCUCCUGCUGCAUGGUGGGGGUUGGAAAGUUUCGGCGGUUGGGGAUGGACUCGCGGCUUAUCAGCUUGUUGGUGGGGUAGUGGCUUACCAAGGCUUUGACGGGUAGCCGGCCUGAGAGGGUGACCGGCCACAUUGGGACUGAGAUACGGCCCAGACGCCUACGGGAGGCAGCAGGGGGGAAUAUUGCACAAUGGGCGGAAGCCUGAUGCAGCAACGCCGCGUGCGGGAUGACGGCCUUCGGGUGGUAAACCGCUUUCGCCUGUGACGAAGCGUGAGUGACGGUAAUGGGUAAAGAAGCACCGGCUAACUACGUG
rnacentral:rRNA from 1 species